CAGAGGUUCUAACUCCUCCUGGUCCAGAGUGGAUCUCCUCUCCUGGUUCCAUGGCUCCUCCUUAACUUUAUGUAGCAGAAACAAACUCCUAACCCAGAAUCUUGACAGUUUGUCCAUUUUCUACAAGUUUAGGGAGGAGCAGGAGAGGAAACAACGAGAAGUUUGAUCUUUGUUUUUUGCUUGUCAAACUGGAAAAAAUAAACCAUGAAAGCAAUGUUGAAGUUUUUUCGACAUUAAACUUCUUUUACCUGCGCAUGAAGCAUCACCUCAGUGCAGCAAAGGUGACACUUGAUUCUGUUGUGCUGCCUGUGGAAACAAAGUGCAUGAAGUUUGURCUCAGSUGRGAAAACCCUGUGGAUCACAUGGUGGGACUUCUGCUUCAAACUGCUCACUACAGUAUAGCGUCGUCUCUGUCAUCCACCAGUUCACUGCAGACUGGCACCAGUUCACUGCAGACUGGCCCCCGCCAAGGACCCUACAUGGAUGUCUUCUUAAGUUGUAAACCCUGAGUACAUACUGUUGAAAUAAAAUUGAUGUGUCUUUUGUAAA